UGCUUUCAGCUUAUUUUGCGCAGCUUAGGUGGGAGGCUACGAACCUUUUCUUCCGGGAAGAGGGGAGCCAUCAGUGAGAUACCACUCUUGGUAAGCUAGAAAGCUCAGUCUUAACCGUUAUCCGGUAAGACGACAGUUUCAGGCGGGCAGUUUGACUGGGGCAGUCACCUCCCAAAAGGUAAUGGAGGUGCACAAAGGUUCCCUCAGGUUGGACGGAAAUCAACCAUAGAGUGUAAAAGCAUAAGGGAGCUUGACUGCGAGACUGACAUGUCAAGCAGAGACGAAAGUCGGUUUUAGUGAUCCGACGGUGCUGCGUGGAAAGGCCGUCGCUCAACGGAUAAAAGUUACUCUAGGGAUAACAGG
rnacentral:rRNA from 1 species